rnacentral:rRNA from 1 species
AGCGAACGCUGGCGGCAGGCUUAACACAUGCAAGUCGAACGCCCCGCAAGGGGAGUGGCAGACGGGUGAGUAACACGUGGGAACGUACCCUUUGGUUCGGAAUAACUUGGGGAAACUCAAGCUAAUACCGGAUAAGCCCUUAUGGGGAAAGGUUUACUGCCGAAGGAUCGGCUCGCGUCUGAUUAGCUAGUUGGUGAGGUAAUGGCUCACCAAGGCGACGAUCAGUCGAUGGUCUGAGAGGCGGAUCAGCCACACUGGGACUGGAACACGGCCCAGACUCCCUCGGGUUUCAUGUCUUGGGAAUUUUGGACAAUGUGGGCAACCCUCAUCCAGCCAUGCCUCGUGAGUUAUUAAGGCCUUAGGGUUGUAAAGCUCUUUUACCGGGGGCGAUAAUGACGGUACCGGGAGAAUAAGCCCCGGCUAACUUCGUGCCAGCCGCCGCAGUAA